AUGCAAAAAAGAGUAAGAAGAAACAAAGAUUGGAAGAACCGAAGAACUUACCUGCAUCUUCAUACUCGCCGGGCCUCAGAGUCUCUUUCUCCACCGUGGAGAUUUCUAGGGAUAUUAAACAUUAUGAAAUUUAUGCAGUGCGAUUUAGAAUAUGGGAAUUUGAGGAGUAGAUUUGAGAGGAGAAGAUGA